rnacentral:rRNA from 1 species
UACAGAGGGUGCAAGCGUUGUUCGGAAUUACUGGGCGUAAAGCGCGUGUAGGCGGUCUAAUAAGUCGGUCGUGAAAGCCCUUGGCUUAACCAAGGAACUGCGAUCGAAACUAUUAGACUAGAGUAUCGGAGGGGAUGGUGGAAUUCCCGGUGUAGAGGUGAAAUUCGUAGAUAUCGGGAGGAACACCUGUGGCGAAGGCGACCAUCUGGAAGAUUACUGACGCUGAGACGCGAAAGCGUGGGGAGCAAACAGG